AUUGAACGCUGGCGGCAGGCCUAACACAUGCAAGUCGAACGAGUGGCGUACGGGUGGGUAAUGUCUGGGCAACUGCGCGAUGGAGAGGGAUAACUACUGGAAACUGUAGCUAAUACCGCAUACAAUCGGAUGUGCCCGUAUGGGAUUAGCUAGUGGGUGGGGUAACGGCUCACCAAGGCGACGAUCCCUAGCUGGUCUGAGAGGAUGACCAGCCACACUGGAACUGAGACACGGCCCAGACUCCUACGGGAGGCAGCAGUGGGGAAUAUUGCACAAUGGGCGAAAGCCUGAUGCAGCCAUGCCGCGUGUAUGAAGAAGGCCUUCGGGUUGUAAAGUACUUUCAGUGAGGAGGCGUUACUCGCAGAAGAAGCACCGGCUAACUCCGUGCCAGCAGCCGCGGUAAUAC
rnacentral:rRNA from 1 species